rnacentral:rRNA from 1 species
UACGGAGGGUGCGAGCGUUGUCCGGAAUCAUUGGGCGUAAAGGGCGCGUAGGUGGCCCGGUCAGCGUGCGGUGAAAGCUCGGGGCUCAACCCCGAGUCGGCCGUGCGAACUGCUGGGCUGGAGCACUGUAGAGGCAGGCGGAAUUCCGGGUGUAGCGGUGGAAUGCGUAGAGAUCCGGAAGAACACCGGUGGCGAAGGCGGCCUGCUGGCGAGUGGCUGGACACUGAGGCGCGACAGCGUGGGAGCAACAGG